UGGGAUAGGAAGCCAGUUGGGCGUUGAAAGUUGAUACGCAAACGCGUAGGCGAUCGAUCCAAGUAAAACUCUGAACUCUGUACCCUUCGCGAGCAAUAGGCAGAAGAAGUGCUGAAAAUGCACUUCGGCCCAUGUACGCGUUUGGCGUACGCGAAAGUUGUGGCUGCGACCCUGACUCAGCCUUAGUGUUGAUUGUCGGGGUCGCGGCCUGACCAGGGUGCGUCGUUUCUAUCAGAUUGAUUGUGCGGAUUGUGUUAUAGGAACUCCGGUGUAUCGACUUCUCUGCUCUACUAAGGGUGAACCCUACAAUGGGCCUUCUGUUGCUUACCUACCAUCGAACGAAUACCAAUACAUACCGGGCAGAUAUACGUAUAACUCUGUUCUGACAUCGAUCGAUUGAAACUGUUCACACGUCGUCUUUGGAGUAGCAAUUUAACCAACAAGUCCAAAACAAUGGCUGUUGCUUGCAAACAAUCUUUUCUGUGGCUAUACAUUUUGUGGUGAACUCUAAGCGGAAACAGUUCCACACCAACAAUGUGUUAAGUUCUUAAAUAUUUGAAAUUGUUUAAACUGUUUUUGUUUUUGUACACUCUACGACUUUAUAAUUACUUGUACCGAUGUAAAAUUACUUGUCGAAACAAAACAAAAAAUAAGAAAAUGGAAAAAAUGCUUAACAAAAGAGCUCAUCUAUAGAAAAGAAGCAACAAAAAAGUGAAUAAAAUUCAAUAAUUCCAAAAAUAAAUCUCGAAACAUUGCUCGUCAUAUUUUUUUUAUUUCAAGCUUAAAUUCAAUUUCAGUUAGAUCAUCCAACCGUUUUACAAAACGUUGCAGCAGUUAGCUCAUCGAGGAAGGGUUGAUCUCAGUAUCUCAGUACACACCCGACUAAAACCGAAUACAUAAUUCUCUGUCCAUGAUGCUCAACAUGAAGAAGGGGACAGUGAUCACCCUCAAAGCGAAAUAUUUUAAUUCAAUUCGUUAGUUCCUGAUAUCCCUUUUAGUAAAACACUAUAGCGGAGUAUUUCGGAAUACAAAUUUGAGGACAUAGGAAAUAAUUAUUAAUUUCUUUACAACAAGACAAAAUUGGGAUGAUUAUGGCUCCACAUUGUAAGCUGAAUAUGGAAGUUACCGGAAUAUAAUUUAUAAUGAAAGCAUACACACAUAUAAUUUUCAUAUGUUUACAAAAAUGUCCUGUCCAAAUAUAAUGUAAAAUUUAAAAAACUGCGAAAUUAUUGUCAAACACUUAAGCUUAAGCAUUAAACUGUUCCCUCUACCUGACACUCUUAAACUUCCCAAGUACCCAAAACAAUUUCAUAUUAAAAACUGCAUAGAACCAGUUUUAAACAGCACUGCGAUUAUACAACAAAUAGCUUAUUCGAUCUCUUGAAACGAUCGGACCGCUUUCUCCAGCACUCUUAAACAUGGUAGGUAGGUUUUAUAUUGACAUGCAUAACUCUGUUAUUCAUCGAAAUGAUCUGAUUUAUUAUUUACAUCAAAAUCAUAUAGCAAUGUUUUAUAACUAUACAAAAACGGUAGGGAAAACUAAUAUAUUUUUCAACAUAAUAGGUAGGUUUCAUUCCGUUAAUUUCAACAAGGUUUUUUUUUUAUAUUACAAAUAGUAUCAAUAUCAACACCGGCGUAUAAUUCGAGGUGUCCCAAAUGUCCAUCGACUCGAGUUUCGCGGGGGGGCAUUUGCUCAAAUAUCCCGUAGAGGCGCUUCUGAUUGAAGCACACACUCAAUCUACUCAUGUAGGCGUUCUAGUUGAGCCCGUCCAGCACAUUGUUCCACGUCAUGGUCGUCAGUUGGUGGAUCCACUGUCGGGCGUAUCUCUACUCCCGCGAGUCGGUAUGGAACGCCUCCUCCGGCUGAGUGCUACAUCCGAGAAACGCAUUAAAAUCAGUGAACAGGAGAUUCAUCUUGGCUUCGUGGACGACCGAUGUCGCCAACCACUUCAUCUUCAAAUAUAAAUUCUCAGAAAAUAUAAACAAGUGAUGGAUUCAGAAAAUUUCGCAGAGAAUACUAUAAGUAUGGACGAUCCGAACAUGGACUAUAUUAAUAUCUUUGACAAUAUAAAUAUGAAAAUCAUCUACAUAUAUGGUAUCUUAUAACUAUUAUAUACUAACUAUAUAACCUUACAGAUCAAGAGUUUUCUACUUCCUAGCGCUUGUACUGUACUACAUAUAUUUCCCAGCCCGACUUCUGGUUUCAACCAAAAUAGGUAGGGUGAAUAAAAAUGUUUUUAAGAUGGUUUUGAUCUCGUGAUCGAUAUAAGAACAGGAUUUCGUGUACGGAUAGUGAUUUCUCAAUGAUAUCGGUAGGAAUUCUUCUCAUAUUAAUAUGUUAUACUAAUACCCACUGCCCCCGUGCCUUACCCUUCCAUAUACCAACCAUCUCUCCAUCUCUUCUUGAUUGCAAUGAAAAUGGAAAAUUAAUUUACAUAUUGGAGGAUAGGAACUUUUAUGUUAUCUUUAAAAUCUUAAGGUUAAGAACCACUUUCCCUCGUAACAUAAGACAAGGAUUUUCCACUAUAAUAGGUAGGGAUUGAAGCGCACUAAAAUUGCGUUCAGAUUUAAUAAAGAUGGUUCUGAUCUCAUGAUCAGAAACUGAAAUUAAUUUACGGCUCGUGAUUUCUCAACCUCGUCAAUCACUCUAAUAUACCUCUUAUGAUAAUUAAAUGCUUUUAUAUUAAUACCCACGUUUCCUCGUGACUUAGCUUUCUAUAUAUCGACCGUAUCUCCAUUUCUUCUUGAUAUUUAAGGAUAGGGACUUUAAUGUUACCUAUAAAAUCUUAACCACUUUCCCUCAUGACAUACGACAAGGACAUAUGAUUUUUCACUAUAAUAGGUAGGGAUUGUAGCUUACCAAAAUAGGAAGGGUACGUACAGAUGUUAUAAAGAUGGUUUUGAUCUCUUGAUCACUAUGAGACGAAAAAUUUAUUAACGGAUUACUAUUAUAUUUUAUAUUAUUAUAUAUUAUACUCAACUAUUAUAUUUAUAUGUUCUUAUAUUAAUACCCACUUACCUCUGGACUCACCCUUUUAUACCGACCACCUCUCAAUCUCAUCUUGAUCACAAUGAAACCCGCAAUUAUUUUACAUAUUGGACGAUAGGGACUUUUAUGUAACCUAUAUAAUCUUAAGAUUAAGAACCAGUUUCCGUCGUGACAUACGAAAAAUAUAUAUGAUUUUCCAUUAUAAUAGGUAGGGAUUGUAGCUCACCAGAAUAUAUAGGGUCUGCGCAAAUGGUUAAUGAUUAUGCUCCACUUUCCCUCGUGACUUACCCUUCUACAUAUUGACCACAUCUCCAUGUCUCCUUGAUCGCAAAGAAAACGGGAAAUUAUUUCCAUAUUGGAGGAUAGGGACUCCUACAUAUGUUAUCCAUACAAUUUUAUGGAUAAGAACCUCAUUCCAGAACCACAAGGAUAUAUGAUUUUCCACUACAAUAGGUAGGAAUUGUAGCUCACUAAGGUAGGCAGGGUGCGUACAAAUUGUAUUGUAGGGACUGUUAUUAUAUUUUUUGAUGUUCUUAUAGUAAUACCCAUUUUGCCUCGCCACUUACCCUCUUAUAUACCGAAUAUCCCUCCAUCACUUCUUGACCGAAAUGAAUGUCAGAAUCAACUGACAUAUUUUAGGAUAGGGACUCCUAUGUUAUCUAUACAAUCUUAAGACUAAGAAACACAUUCCCUCGUGUCAUACGACCAAUAUAUAUGAUUUUCCACUAUAAUAGGUAGGGAUUGUGGCUCACUACAGUAGGUAGGAUGCGUACAAAUGGUUUGAUCUCUUGAUCGCUAUAAGACGAGGAAUUAAUUUACAGGUGGAGAUUUCUCAACCUUAUCAGUAGGGACUGUUAUUAUAUUUUUUGAUGUUCUUAUAGUAAUACCCAUUUUCCCUCGCCACUUACCCAUCUCUUCUUGACCGAAGUGCAUUUUUGAAUCAACUUACACAUUUGACGAUAGGGACUUUUAUUUUAUCUAGGUAGGGAAGGUCGGGAUUGUAGGUUACGAAAAUAGGUAGGGUGCAUACAAAAAUUGUAAAGACUGUUUUGAUCUCUUGAUCGCAAUGAGAACUGGAAUUUAUUUACGGAUAGUGAUUUCUCAACCUUAAUCUUAAGAUUUGCGGCUACGGACUCUUGUUAUCUAUAAUUUGACCCCCUUUACCUCGUAACAUACGACAAGGAUAUGGGAUUUUAAACAAUAAUAGGUAGGGUGCAUACAAAAAUUUUAAAGACGGUUUUGAUCUCUUGAUCGCAAUGAGAACAGGAAGUCAUUUACGGAUAGGGAUUUCUCAACCUCGUCAAUCCCUCUGAUAUACCUCUUAAACUUCUUCUGAUAAUAUGUUUUUAUACUAAUAUACACUUUCCCCCAUGACGUACCCUCUUAUAUACCGACAAUAUCCCCAUCCCUGCUUGACUGAAAUGAAAAUAGUAUUGUUCUAACACUUUUCCUUUUCGAUAACGAUUUAUAAUCUCCAAUCUUUCCUUGAUCUGAAUGAAAACGGGGUUAUGUUGACAAAUAUUACUUUGUACAUAGCUACCACAAAUUCUAAAAUUUGUUGAUGCAAAGUAGGCAGGGCUCAGAAUAGCAUUCAUGUGAUUUGUGUUUAAGUGAAUACGUAAAAAUAUCAAAACGAUAAAUUCAAUUCUCUGCGAAAAUCAAAUUUGAAAAUUUUGGUAAAAUAGUUUCAAUAAAAAUCGUGAUUCCGGCGAUGGGUGUUCGCAUACUUAUAAGUAUCGGAUAGUAUUCGGAUAGACGUCCUCAAACAAUUAUUGGACUAUGGACGAAUACGUUGGAGACCAAAUAAUGUUACACCAUGGAUUACAAAAUAAAUAUGCAAUUUCCCGUGAGUUACAGAUAGGAAUAAUGCAAAGGCCAGAACAUACAUAUCUUUUUCAAAAAUAAUCCAUCAAAUUAACUGUCUGAAGAAAUGGAUAAAGGUAUUCUAAUUCCAGUCAAAUUUUAAUGCGACACAAAUCGUACCAGGAAGAUUUACGUUAAUAGAUUACAUUCUCGAAAUAACCCACGAUCUUUUAACAUAUGCAAUGAAAUAAUGUACACCUCUUCCAAGAAAUGAAAAAAUGCCUACCUUCGCACCUAACAUACAAAUAUUUAUGUUUUUAUAGUACAUACAUAUGCAAGUUGGAGUAUUCGUACUCGUGCAAGUGAAACCACUACACCGCGCAACAAUAAUACCACUGAUCCCGCUAUUUUCACCAUAUUCUGAACAGUCCAUGUGACACUGGAUAGAACCAUUUUUCGGUAUAAAUCUUCUACUUGCAA
rnacentral:sRNA from 1 species